CCGCCGCCGCCCCUCUGAUUCUGGCCGACGCCAUCCGACUCACGCGCCGGCCGCCACCAGCGCGGCUCACCCUUGUCUCCCCAAUCGAUGCACAGCACCUCCUCGCCGUUCCCUCCCUGCGCGCGCCCCUGCGGCUAACCCUAGCCGCCAACUCGUGUUGCGGGCACUGAGGAUGGGAGCGGGGCAGCCGCGUCGCUGAGGGGUUGGACCGGCUGGGGCGUCACCACUUGGGUGGAGAAGUAGGGGCAGCGGUGGCGCCGUGUUGGGGCGGAGGAGAAGGAUGGCGACGACGGGCGAAGACAUCGUUGGCGGCGGCGGCGGCGGCGAAUCUGGUAGAGCCCCUUUCUCUUCCCAAGCCUGCCCCUCUCACCCUUUUCCUCAAGCGGCAAGACCCCAGGGAGAUCGAGGUUGCGACGCUGACGUUAUCUCCUACUCGGGAUCCAGGGUGAGAAUCUCGUGUCUUUCCUCUUCUUCUCUGGUGACUAUGGUUUGAAGAUUUGGGAUCAGGCAGCUGGCCUUGGCGGGGGUCACAUUGCAAGAACCGAAGCAGAUGCAGUAGAGAAGCAGAAGCGACCAGUUCACUCCGUUAUGAAAUCUUGUUUCUGAUUCUUGGAUCCUGUGUAGUAGAGAAGCAGAACUCAGCGGGUAUUCCUUUGGAUACAUUAUGAGGUUGUUUCUUCUUUGUUUACUGACAGCAAGAAUUGACAGCCUUUUUCUUUUGUACUUUGUCUGUCUUAAUCACCUAGCUUACCUGGAUUCAAGAGUAUGACGGGUUUUUUUAGAGAGGAAUAGAGGAUGGCUGUUGGUUGUUGUACGCUGAAGGUCGUAUAUAUUAUUUGUUUCCCUCCAACGAAGCUGCAGGUCUGAUCCAAGCAAGCAAGUUUGUUCUUAUCUGAUCCUAAAACAAAUAUCAUGACAGAAUAACGUAUAAGCAAUGCAGUGUACCAAUAUAUACAAGUGCAUAAGUUAUUCUCCUAGCUUUUACAUGCUGGGCCAUUGUUAGGAACUAUUCCUGUAAGCAUACGCUUUUGUACAAUUUUGUUUGUUAAUUCCUAUGUAUUAGCUUUGACUUUCUUCAGCUGACGUUAAUUACUUUGAUCCUUUUCAGUAUGCUGAAGGUUGAAAAUGAGGCUGUCACUGCUGAAGAUUGGCAACAGCACGGGUGUCGUUCGGCUUCGCUGCUUGAUUCGGCAAGGUCCUCGCGUUCUUCUUCAAGGAGGACUUUGCACUCAAGGUAGGGGCCAUCUUCAAAGCCGCCUGCCCGCUCUACGAUGGCGCACUGCAAGAACGCCUCGGUCAUCACCUGAAUCUCAUGGAGCGUGUUGCAGGCUGUGGAACGGGCUCCGCGAGGUUCGUAUGUUGAUGUUUGUGCUCAAAAUUUUGACAAUUCCACUCAAAUAGCACUUCUCCAGUGUAUGUAUAUAUGCAAUCUACUGCAAUCUGUAAUUACAAGCUCCGGGAGAGCACCGUGGCCUCUGCUAUCCGUGACACGAGAUAGGUCCCUUCCCUGACGUAGGCAAUAGCCCCAUCCCUUGCUGAUACGGAUAAAGACCUAAGAAUCCUUUUAUUGAUUCCCCUCUCAAGCAUGUACCCGAUCGGUUGGAACGUGGAAACAUCACAAAUUCACAUGUGAGUAGCGGAGAGAACAAGGUCAAGGCCAUGUCCAUAAGCAAGCGUAGCAAGGCAUCCGGCGAGGGUGCUGGUUGCGGAUGAUAUCGUACGGAGGUGCUGCUGCCUCCUCUGGGUGGUCGGCUGGUGGUCAAGCCAUCGCCGGCGCCGGUGCCAAAGCUGUUGUACCACUUCCCCGUCGCAGGGUUCGACGCCAAGGCGGCGUACUCAUUUCAUGUUCCUCGUCGCGCCCCAGGGAGAACGAGUUGUUGUUCAUCACCUUUACUAUGCACGAUGCAACACCUGGAGGUGCUGACGCCCACAUCGUGCCAUAGCCUCACCAUCAUGUACGAUGCUAAAGAGGGGCUCAGGUGCAGCCCGGUUGGGGUUCGACAGUACGCUUGAACACUAAGGCCGUGAGGCUAAUCAGCGGGAUGCACGGGCCCCAUGAGUAGCAGGACAUGAGGUGUACACUACUGGAGGCGGAUGCUGCUGGAAGGCUGUUGGCCGGCGGCAGCCCGAGCGGUGCCCUUAGGAUGCGUUUGUCUGUGGCCAACACUAGCCAAACAAGUACAUCUCUGAUCUCUCUCUUUUGCUAGCUAUCUCUUCUACUAAACAGCAUACCUAUUGUUAUCUAGAUGACUGGAUGCACAACCACAUAAGUUGUUCGACGCAUGCUCUAACAUGCGAUGAUUGAUUUUAUGCAUCUUCUGUGAGCACUUGCUAAAAUAAUUAAUGUCAUUGAUUUGGAUCGCUA